AGAGUUUGAUCCUGGCUCAGGAUGAACGCUGGCGGCGUGCUUAACACAUGCAAGUCGAACGAUGAUCCCAGCUUGCUGGGGGAUUAGUGGCGAACGGGUGAGUAACACGUGAGUAACCUGCCCUUAACUCUGGGAUAAGCCUGGGAAACUGGGUCUAAUACCGGAUAUGACUCCUCAUCGCAUGGUGGGGGGUGGAAAGCUUUAUUGUGGUUUUGGAUGGACUCGCGGCCUAUCAGCUUGUUGGUGAGGUAAUGGCUCACCAAGGCGACGACGGGUAGCCGGCCUGAGAGGGUGACCGGCCACACUGGGACUGAGACACGGCCCAGACUCCUACGGGAGGCAGCAGUGGGGAAUAUUGCACAAUGGGCGAAAGCCUGAUGCAGCGACGCCGCGUGAGGGAUGACGGCCUUCGGG
rnacentral:rRNA from 1 species